rfam:Salmo salar isolate Sally breed double haploid chromosome ssa18, whole genome shotgun sequence.
UAGGUCAGAGACUGUAUAGUCGCUCUGGAUAAGAGCGUCUGCUAAAUGACAAAAA